UGUAAGCGUAUACCAAAGUUGUUGCAGUUAAAACGCUCGUAGUCGGAAUUUGGCAGUUCCGGAAGUGUGCACGUCGUGUGCGCACUUUGCGGGGACUGCUUUUGUGGUCUUGCGUAGGAUGAGGCACUUUCAUUAGUGAACGUCCUCACGCAACCACUCUUUAUUGUGAGAAAAUCAGAGUGCUCAAAGCAGGCAUUUGCCGUGAAUGUAUUAGCAUGGAAUAAUAGAAUAGGACUCGGUUCUAUUUUGUUGGUUUGUUGGGACUGAGUAAUGAUUAAGAGGGACAGUUGGGGGCAUUUGUAUUCCGGCGCUAGAGGUGAAAUUCUUAGAUUGCCGGAAGACAAACUGCUGCGAAAGCGUCUGCCAAGGAUGUUUUCAUUGA
rnacentral:rRNA from 1 species